UGAAAAAAAAUAGUUUCGAAUAAAAUAGUUUCAUAACUUUGUAUUAUUCAUUGACUAUUAAGCCGUCCUAAGUAGGCCUAGACAUAAUAUGGUUCACACCGAAAAAUCGAUCGAAUCGAAUUAUUUUUAAUUUUUGUUUCGAUUUUUCGAUUAUUUCGGUCGGUUAUUUGUUAUUACCCCAUAACCCAUUCCUAAAUUCUAAUCCUCCCAAGCCCAACUACACUGAGCCCAAAACCAACUAUUCAAAUUCCUAAAUCCUAACCCAAAUACCCAUAACCCAGUUACCCAAUACCCAAGCUCCAAGCCAAUUUCCCUAAAUUGAUGAAAUCCCUAAAUUAACACUGAAAGUGAAACCUUUUUCUUUGAAAGUGAAACCUUCUUUGAAACACCAAACACGUCCACUGCCAGUCUGCCACUAUCGCUGACCGUCAACCGUCGUCCGCUACCAGUCACGCCGCCAGCGGCCACUCCGCUAGCCGCCACGCUAUCAGCCUAUCACGCAGUGACGCUGACGCAGAUACGCAGGCCAACUGCCGCAGCAUCCAGCAGCACUCGCCAGUCGCCAGUCGGUCGCCGCCCUCCGGCUCGCUACAACCACCACUCUCACUCAUCUCUCAAAUCUCAUCUCUCGUUUUUGUCACUCAUGGCACAAACUGAAAGUAAGGGAAGUGAAAGUGGAGCUUCAAAUGAGAGUAUACCUUACACCUCAUCUCCUAGUGAGGUUGAAGUUGAUGUUGAUACUUCAAAGAAAAGAAAACCAUGGAACCUAGAUCUAAUUGUUGGAAGCAUUUUGAAAAGUUCAUCGAUGAAAAUGGAGCUAGUAAAGCCAAAUGCAAGUAUUGUGCGAAUCUUAUGCAGCUUCUACAUCAUCUAAUGAGGGACUGAAUCUAGUAUAAUUGAUAUAUAGUUGCAGCUUGUAAGUUCAACUAUCAACUAGUGAUGUGCGGUAACGAGUCCAACAAUGUUUUGUUAUUUUCUUGGUUGCUAUCUGCUAGAACUUGGGAGCUAUUGCAAUGGCGGUUGCAAGUUGCAACGAUGUUUUGUUGGUUUUCUAAAUCUCUUUGUUGCUGAAAGUUGCAAUGAGCCAGAUAAUGAUGACUUUCGUUUGUAACUAACUCUAUUUUAGUGAUGGACACAAGUUUGUUGAACUUUCUAGUGUUGUUGUGAUGUUUUCUUGACUUUUGAUAGUUUUUUUUAUUAUUACUGAUUGAGUC